rnacentral:rRNA from 1 species
GACGAACGCUGGCGGCGUGCUUAACACAUGCAAGUCGAACGGUGAAGCUCCAGCUUGCUGGUGUGGAUCAGUGGCGAACGGGUGAGUAACACGUGAGCAACCUGCCCCUGACUCUGGAAUAAGCGCUGGAAACGGCGCCUAAUACUGGAUACGAGAAGGGUCCGCAUGGGCCCUUUCUGGAAAGUUCUUCGGUUGGGGAUGGGCUCGCGGCCUAUCAGCUUGUUGGUGUGGUAAUGGCUCACCAAGGCGACGACGGGUAGCCGGCCUGAGAGGGCGACCGGCGACACUGGGACUGAGACACGGCCCAGACUCCUACGGGAGGCAGCAGUGGGGAAUAUUGCACAGUGGGCGAAAGCCUGAUGCAGCGACGCCGCGUGAGGGAUGACGGCCUUCGGGUUGUAAACCUCUUUCAGCAGGGAAGAAGCGAAAGUGACGGUACCUGCAGAAGAAGCACCGGCUAACUACGUG